CGCGCGAGUCACCGGGAUCCGUACGAGACCCGAGGGCGCAAUGAAAGUGAAGGUCGGCCCCGAGCCGACCGAGGAAGGAUGGGCGACGCUUCGCGCGUCGCCCCGCACUCCCGGGGCGUCACGCACUCAUCGCGAGGCGAGGCGCACCGAGAGCGCGCGCGCCGGGACCCGAAAGAUGGUGAACUAUGCCUGGUCAGGACGAAGUCAGGGGAAACCCUGAUGGAGGUCCGUAGCGAUUCUGACGUGCAAAUCGAUCGUCGGAACUGGGUAUAGGGGCGAAAGACUAAUCGAACCAUCUAGUAGCUGGUUCCCUCCGAAGUUUCCCUCAGGAUAGCUGGCACUCGGACGAACCCCGAACCAAAAUCGAACGAGUCUCAUCCGGUAAAGCGAAUGAUUAGAGGCAUUGGGGUCGAAACGGCCUCAACCUAUUCUCAAACUUUAAAUGGGUGAGAUCUCCGGCUUGCUCGAAGGUGUCUCGCGCCGCGCGCCCCUCGGGGCGCGCGCGUCCGCGGCGCCGCCUGAAGCCGGAGAUCGGAUCAACAGGUGCCAAGUGGGCCACUUUUAGCGCUGUGAGAUGAACCAAACGUCGAGUUAAAGCGCCGAAAUCGACGCUUAUGGGACACCAUGUCGUUG
rnacentral:rRNA from 1 species